rnacentral:rRNA from 1 species
GGUUUUUUGAUUGAUAGUCCACGAUGAUUUGUACUUUGCCUUUAAAUUUAUAUAUCGUUGUUGUUAAAAAUUUUAGGAUGGAAUUUUUUCAAAUCAAGGUGUAGUUUAUGUGAAAGUUUUAAUGGGUUACAUUAUGAAGCUUGAAUAAAAUGGAUUUGAUAGUAAGCUCUAAAAUAUGUACAUAUCGCCCGUCGCUUUCACUUUAAGGUGAAAUAAGUCGUAACAGAGUAGACUUAUUGGAAAAUGAGUCUGGAAUGCAAAUUAGAGCUUGUUAAGCAUUUUAUUUACACUAAAGGGUUAGUUGUGAGAUUCAACUUAGUUUGAACUUUAAAUGUUAUUUUAUAUUUUUUUUGUUUGUUGUUAUUAGAAGGAUAUUUAUUUUGAUUAUUUAUUUGAAAUAAUAUUAUUAUAGUUGAUUGUAUUGUGGGAGAUUUUUUUUUUGUUUUUUGAAGAAAAUUUAUUUUGUUGUACCUUGUGUGUCAGGGUUUAUUUAUUAGGGUUUCCCGAAUUCAAAAGAGCUAAUUUUGUUGUGGAAUAAGUAUUUUUAAUUGCUUUUUAGUAAUGAAACGUUAUUCGUUUUUGAAUAUAUCUGGUUUUUUAAGAAAUUGAUUUAAUUAAUCCAGAAUUGGGUUAAGCUUAUGGGGGAUAAGCUCUUGAAUUUAUUAUUAUAAUUUAUUUGUUUUUAAUAAUUAAUAGGAUUAGAAUUUUUCAAUUUUAGGAGGAUGUUAUAAUGUUUUUUAAUUUUUUUAUUAAAAUUUUUGCUUUAAUUUUUUUGUUAGGUGAUUUUGAUAGAAUUAGUAAGGUUAUUUUAAGGAAUUCGGCAAAUUGAAUUUUCACCUGUUUAUUAAAAACAUGUCUUUUUGAUUAUUAUUUAAGGUCGGGCCUGCCCUAUGAUUAAAUGGCCGCAGUAUUUUGACUGUGCAAAGGUAGCAUAAUCAUUAGUUUCUUAAUUAGAAGCUGGAAUGAAUGGUUUAAUGAGAAAUUGGCUGUCUCUAGAAUUUUAUUUUUAAGUUAGAAAGCUUAAAUGAAUUAGAAAGACGAGAAGACCCUAUAGAGUUUUUAAAUUGGGGUGAUAUUGAAAUUUGGUUAACUUUUGUUUU